rnacentral:rRNA from 1 species
GACGGAGGAUGCAAGCGUUAUCCGGAAUGAUUGGGCGUAAAGCGCACGUAGGCGGGUAUUUAAGUCAGGGGUGAAAUCCCAGAGCUCAACUCUGGAACUGCCUUUGAUACUGGGUACCUAGAGUAUGGAAGAGGUGAGUGGAAUUCCGAGUGUAGAGGUGAAAUUCGUAGAUAUUCGGAGGAACACCAGUGGCGAAGGCGGCUCACUGGUCCAUUACUGACGCUGAGGUGCGAAAGCGUGGGGAGCAAACAGG